rnacentral:rRNA from 1 species
UGGUGUGUGUAGAAAGGAUGUGCGGAAUUUUCCUUUAGGAGAAAGGGAAAGUACGAAAGUGUUGCUGUGUACAACGAGAACGAGAAUGGGAACGGGCUAGGGGAAAGAGUGAGCUUUUAACGACGGCGGCCAUCGAGGGUAGUCGAACUAAGGAACUAAGUCACGGAACUCGAACAAGCAGGAGUGGACGUCGGACGGGACGUCGAACUAAGCAAACACGCCGGUGUACCGCUGGAAGCUGCUGCCGACCAAACAGAGGACUAGAGGAGCAUGCGGAGGAGAUAGAGGCGGAUCCUACCAUUUGCCGCUACCUCCCCAUCGUCCCGGGUUCCACAUCGACGCGUUCCCUCCUCCGCUCUAGUCCGCACCUAAAGUAGAGGGCGUCGACGAAACUAGGUAGAAAUGAUACUCCUACCACAUCUACAAAAGACGGGGAUUUCGCGGCCGGUCUGCGUAGGAGGUGUACCCGUUGUAAGAAGUUUCAGACUUCACACAAAGGGAUGUCGUUCUUUAUUCCUCCGUGUAUUGAGCCUUGCUAACCUGCACCCCUCGUUUUUUUCUUUAUAAUGGAACAACAAAUGGCGUUUAUCAUCAUUUCCAGGUUGGGGAUCCAUUUAUAGCGGGAACUACUUCUCCAACUUAAGACCGGUGAAUAUCCCAGACAGAUACCGCACAUAGAGUUCAGGGUUGAGAGUGGACUACCCAGAAGAUUAGAGGGAGAUCGACCGACUGUCGUCUUAAGUAUACAAUUAUUGUUACGACUUUCUCGUUAGGUUGGUAGGUUCCGUAUACCAAAACCUCUAGUCGUCAAACGUUUAUGCCUUCCUUUUUAAUGGAAUAUCGUCGAUCGACAACCCCACUUUCGUUUAACAUUUAAAAAACUAAGUCAAUACAAACGUGCACCAACAUGGUGUAGUUUUGACUAUAUUGGAAGGAUUAGAAUACUGUUAAGAAAGCGGAAUAAAAAAAAACAUCGACUCGCUGACGAAUAUAAGAAAAGGGACCGCCGGUAUGUACGGAUAGAGAACACAUAAGUAACUAGUUAAAAACAACUCGUAUAAUCGAUGGUUAGACAGGACGAAUCACCAGCUAGGAAAAUUAUUCCCUGUUUCAUCUUCAUUGUGACGUCACUUCUUGUUAUCGUAUGGAUCGGUAGUUCCGGCCUAAGGACAUACGUGUAACUCGUCGUCUCUCUCUUGUUUAUACAAACUCCAACUCCUACGUACCACUCGGGCUCCCCUCCGAGCUAGUUAGAGCUGUCAAUGGGGUAGCAGCCCGUACCGAAGGUACCCCCGUACCUCUACUACAAAAAAAAAGAAAUCCUUUACUAAUUAAUAAUAAGCAAAAAUCACUUUUCUAUACCUUCACUCUAUACAUGCACUACCUACACUCCAAAAAAAAAAACUCCCCAUACACUCCAACAAAAAAAUACACUUU